rnacentral:lncRNA from 1 species
CUCCGAUGUGGAGCAGUGCUGCCACCGUGUGGACGCUCUGGAGCAGUCAGUGAGGUCUCUGACGGACGCGUUGCAGAGGUGCCCAGACCCCGAGGAGCUGAGUCGGUGUGUGACCUGGGACGCCCUGGAGGCCACGCUGCUCUGCUGCAGAGAAAGAGUGCCCAAGGUGAUGGGCGACCAACUGCCCCACGCUGUGCAGGACGCCAGCCGGCCAGCAGCUCCGACCGGUUCUGGACUGGUUUCCAUGGAGAACGGGUCGCCGAUGCAGACCGGUCCAACGACAGGCCUGCCGGCUGCCGGCGUCUCGGCGCGCUACUCGGAGACGCUGGAGGCCCUGAGGGCCCUCGGCCAGCUGGAAGCUCGUGUUGCUCCGCUGGAGGAAGAAGGGAAGGCGGAGCAGUCCCGGAUGGAUCGACUCACAGAGCGCAUCGCUAACAAGAGCUCGCGGGACGCGUCCAGCGCCCUGAUGGAUCAGCUGGACCAGCAGAGAGCUUUGAUCGACGGCCUGCUGAGUGAUCGAGACAAGCGGGACGGUCCGGAGGGCAUGAAGCGAACCAGCCCGGACCAAGAGUGCAGGUCGGGGGCUCCAGGGAGCCGGGAGUCAGACAGCAGAGCCUCUCAGGAGCUCCGGCAGCAGGUGUCCUCCCUCAGGAAGUCUGUGAAGAAGCUGGAGGACGACGUGAAGCAGCUGAAGGCCACGCAGGAGAGAACCUCAGACGGAGACCUCCAAGACCAGCUGGACGACCUGCGGCCCGUGCUGGAGGACACGAUGCGCUCCGUGACCUCUCAGCUGUCCGAGAGACCGGACCUCGAUAACGAGGGGGCGGUGCACACGGGCGAGAAGCUCAGCCAGCUGUACGAGCACUAUGAGCAGCUGCAGGACACUGUGAGCAGCCUCCCGGAGCAGCAGAGCGGAGGCCCAGCAGGGCUGCCGGACCCAGAGGCAAGACCCUCAGCUGGUCCUCAGCUGGUCCUCAGCUGGUCCUAG